AGGGGCUUAGUAUAGUGGUAGUACAAUGGAUUCCAAACCCAUGUGCACGGGUUCGAUUCCUGUAGCCCCUG
rnacentral:tRNA from 1 species